AGUGAGCGCUGGCGGUAGGCCUAACACAUGCAAGUCGAACGGCAGCACAGUAAGAGCUUGCUCUUACGGGUGGCGAGUGGCGGACGGGUGAGGAAUACAUCGGAAUCUACUUUUUCGUGGGGGAUAACGUAGGGAAACUUACGCUAAUACCGCAUACGACCUACGGGUGAAAGCAGGGGAUCUUCGGACCUUGCGCGAUUGAAUGAGCCGAUGUCGGAUUAGCUAGUUGGCGGGGUAAAGGCCCACCAAGGCGACGAUCCGUAGCUGGUCUGAGAGGAUGAUCAGCCACACUGGAACUGAGACACGGUCCAGACUCCUACGGGAGGCAGCAGUGGGGAAUAUUGGACAAUGGGCACAAGCCUGAUCCAGCCAUACCGCGUGGGUGAAGAAGGCCUUCGGGUUGUAAAGCCCUUUUGUUGGGAAAGAAAAGCAGCAGGUUAAUACCCCGCUGUUCUGACGGUACCCAAAGAAUAAGCACCGGCUAACUUCGUG
rnacentral:rRNA from 1 species